GGCUUGGUGCGCGCCGUCCGGUGCGGUUACGUACUGUGUGCGGUUGUGCGCCUGCCAUCCUGCUGGUUAGUAUUCUGGGCCCUUCACUGGGUUUCAGAUGCUGAUCGGCUCUUUUACUUUGAAAAAAUUAGAGUGUUCAAAGCAGGCUUGCGCUAUGAAUACAUUAGCAUGGAAUAAUAAUUUAGGACUUUUGUCCUAUUUUGUUGGUUUCUAGGAUGAAAGUA
rnacentral:rRNA from 1 species